CUCUGCUUAGUUCAACGGUAGAACAUCGGGCUGUAAACCCGAGAAUGUGUGUUCGACUCACACAGCAGAGGC
rnacentral:tRNA from 1 species